rnacentral:RNase_P_RNA from 2 species
CAAGUAAGACAGGUAAUCGCGGCUGUCAGGACCGAAAGGGGACAGGCGAGGAAAGUCCGGGCUUCACAGGGCAGGAUGCCGGAUAACGUCCGGUGGAGGUGACUCCAAGGCAAGUGCAACAGAAAUAUACCGCCUGUGCAUGCAGGUAAGGGUGGAAUGGCAGUUUAAGAGACUACCGCUUCUCUGGUAACAGCGAAGGCAGAUGUAAACCCCAUCCGAAGCAAGACCGGAUAAAGACGAUGUGGCGGCCCGUCACGUCUUAGGUAGGUCGCUUGAACCUGCCGGUAACGGCAGGGNNNNNNNNNNNNNNCCUGCCGGUAACGGCAGGUCUAGAAAGAUGAUUACCCAACGACAUAACCCGGCUUAUCGUUUUGCUUGCAUA